UACGUAGGAGGCGAACGUUGUUCGGAUUUACUGGGCGUAAAGGGUGAGUAGGCGGAGUCGUAAGUCAUUGGUGAAAGACCGGGGCCUAACCCCGGGAACGCCUUUGAUACUGCGAUUCUUGAGUGCGCUAGAGGAUGGUAGAAUUCCUGGUGUAAGGGUGGAAUCUGUAGAUAUCAGGAGGAAUACCGAUGGCGAAGGCAGCCAUCUGGGGCGCUACUGACGCUGAAUCACGAGAGCUGGAGGAG
rnacentral:rRNA from 1 species